rnacentral:rRNA from 1 species
UACGUAGGUCCCGAGCGUUGUCCGGAUUUAUUGGGCGUAAAGCGAGCGCAGGUGGUUUAUUAAGUCUGGUGUAAAAGGCAGUGGCUCAACCAUUGUAUGCAUUGGAAACUGGUAGACUUGAGUGCAGGAGAGGAGAGUGGAAUUCCAUGUGUAGCGGUGAAAUGCAUAGAUAUCACGCAGAACUCCGAUUGCGAAGGCAGCAUACCGGCGCCCUACUGACGCUGAGGCACGAAAGCGUGGGUAUCGAACAGG